rnacentral:lncRNA from 1 species
UUUAUCAUAAGUCAAGUGUAAGUGAGUCAACGAGGAGUCUUUCUUUUGGUAAAGUUUAUUAUUUAUGACUAAUUGCUUCACCUUAUUGUUAUUUAGCGAAUUGAAUACCCCUGUCUAAUUACAGAGAAAACUUGAUUAGUUAAUAAUAUUUACACAUAACAUUGUUAAACUUUUACCUGAUUUCACGUCAAUUAGGCCUUGUUAUUACAAUUUCUAGCCGUAGUUGAGGUGCUCCUCAGGUGCAAAUGAGGUGAGGCAUAGGAGUCAGAGUCUUGAUGUGCUCCUCAGGCGUAAAUGAGGCGAGGCAUAGGAGUCAGCGUCUCUGGCACCCAAAUCAUGGUGCUGUCAGCCAGCCGCGCACCUUUGUGUGCUGGUUUGACUUCUAGGUGGGGUUUUGGGAAUUUAACUUGCGCUGAUGGUAUACUUAAGUGCAAAUGAGCUCUAAGAUCGCAUCUUUGUAGUAAAUCUAGUUAGAAAAGGAAAUCUGAGGUUUUGUUAAUUCUAAUCAUAGCCAUAGAAAAUAAUUAUAGAUAAGGAAGGGCUCAUAUUAAAAAAGAGAAGACCAGGAAAAGAAUGGUUGUACAGAAAUCGUAUAUUAGAAAUUGCAGCCACCUUUCGACUUUGAAAUAGCAAAGACCAACCACCCAUUUCUCUCCUCCGUUCCAUCGACUUCUAGUCUUACUCAUUUGGGAUGGUAGUUUCUACUUUCUAGACUAUUGCUAUUAGUUACUAAUUCGAUAAAGUUUAGCUUUGGUUUUCCGGGUUAUUAUAUAUGUGCUUCUAAUUUGUUUCCUUCUGCAAUUAAAGGAAGCAAAGAGGAACUGAUGCCUCUCGAGGAGGCUCUGAGCAUCACCAAGUUCAGCACAAGAAAGUCAAGCAUAAGAGAGUUGAUCCCGGCGAUAUCUCUCAGUAAAGUUGCUAAUUUAUAAUUAAUUUUGCUUCACUGACUGUGAGGGUUCGGAAUCAUAAACUAUGGCAUGAUUAUAGAUGAAUCCCUUGUUAGUUAAUAUUAAUUGAUCGAUAACAGUGUGAAAAAUGACUUGUAGCAUAUAAAUAGAUCCUAUUGUGCUCAGGAGAACUUAAAAUUUGAAUGAUAAAUAUAUCUUUUAGUUAUUGCUAGCUUCUGUUUAGUUAUUAAUAUGAUUUUUACAUAAUUUUUGAGGAAAACAGCUUGUUUGAUAUCGUGAAGCGAAUAAAACUUGGACAUGCAAAGAUGGCUUUGGAAUUUUAUGAGAAGAGACAGGUUUCCCAUUUCUCUCUUUCAUAUUCAUUUUAACCAUGUGUGCUGCAAGCAACAUUUCUAAUUUUACACUUGUUGGUUGUUAGGAUGCUGAGUUUGAAGUUUUAGAAGUCCUAAAUUUUACUAGUUCGGAAUUACUACACCCCGAAUCUAAUAAGUGGUGUCAAUCAUGGAGUCAUGUCAACUUCAUUGCUAAACCAAAGAACACUGACUGCAACGUCUCUCCAAAACACUUCUUUGGUGAAUUCUUUAUAGAUGAUGAUUCAAGGAAAUUCAAUGUCACCUACUGUUCUACAUUUGAGCCCAGUGAUGAUCCUGGUAAAGCUCAUACUAUAGUUUUUUGAAUGUGUUUUGCCUAGUUUAUAUUUUGUUGAAUGUGUUUUGCUUAGUUUUAUGUAUUAUGUUGGAUACAUAUAAAAUUUUACAAAACUAAGUCCGUUGAUUAUAUAUAUAUAUAUAUAUAUAUAUAUGUAUGUAUGUAUGUAUGUAUAUGUAACGUUUAAAACAACUUAUAAAUGAUAAAUUAUAUUUAAAUUUGAAUAAUCAAAGAUAUUAUUUUUGAUUAAACUAAAAAAUUAUGACUCGUACUCCAAUACUCCAAUGUUUUUGUGUACUCGAUAGAACUUAACUCUCUCUCUCUCCCUCUCUCUCUCUCUCUCUAUAUAUAUAUAUAUAUAUAUUAACUCAGAACCUUAUGAUUCUGAAUCCUUUGUUUUUGUUGAUGUGAUUGUGAACUUUCACCUUGACUGACUAUAUUGACUAUGCAAUUGAUGCAGGAUUCAACCAUGGUUGCAUAUUUUGCCCACCGGGUGAGAAAUUUCAUCCUUCCGAUGGAGAUUUUGUUGCUCGUCCGCCAUGGUAUAAAAGGAGUGGUAUAAAACUAGGAUAAUAUAUGGUUAGUUUAAGUGGGCACUGGUAUCUAUAUAAUAUUGGCUGGAACAAGGUUGGAGUUUUUGGUUGAAACUACGACAGUUGAAAGAAAACUUAAUUUAUGUAUUGGAUUUUACACUAUAUAUUUAUCUGUUUAAAUACUAAUAUGGUGAAUUAUAUAUUUUUUAUGCAUGAACUUUCAUUGAAUUCUGGGUUGUGAGACCAAAUUUUUGCUCGAUAGCGACGGCCUUUGCCUUUCCUUAUGAAAUGGUUGAAAGUCAAGUCAUAAGUUCCAUCAUUGAACUAAGAAAGAGAUUGUUACCUAUAUAUAAGUUCUUUCAUUAGACUAAGAGGUGCUUACUGCUUAGGAAUCAACAAUUAAUUAUUAAGAAUUUUUAAUUCUUGAGCAGGCAGUCAUUAUACAUGUUUCUCAUUUUUAUUCAUUCAUAGUAAUUUUGUUCGGAAUAAGAUUAAAUUCCUAUACGUUUUAUAUUGCCAGCAUCAAUAGAAUCUGACACGACACUGUCAUAAGGGAGUUUUAUUGUUCUUAGACCUUGGUUUUUUUCCAAACAUUCUUGUAGUAUUUAUUAGUUCAGCAACAUUCAGUCCACUUUAUGAAAUGCUCACUACAUUCGAAUAUGGUAAGUUCUUAUUAUAAAAUUGAUCAUAUGGUAAGUUCUUUUUGUAAAACUAAUCAUAUUUAUUUCGAUACCUAAACGAGGCUCCUUCCAUUUUCUAGGUACCCCAAACCUUUUUUUUAAACAAACUGCGUAUUUUGAAUUUUUUUGGAAGGUCCAGAGAACCCUAAAUAUUAAGUGUGGCAAACAUAGAUUGGUGGCAAUUGUGAUAGAUAUGAGAGGGUCAUUGCCCCCAAUUAAGGGGAAAGACAAAAGCAGGUUAUAAAUUCGUCCCAUAGAGAGACUGGUGAAAGAAUAGUGAAGGGAGAUUUUAAGGGAAAUCUGUAAAACAAAUCUUCACCGUCUUCGGUCCCAGAUGAGGCUAAUCUUCGCCCCUAGAAGAGGCUAAGACAGUAAGGGGAAAAAAACUGCCCUUUCUAGGUGAGUUCUGUUGUUACAAAAUGUUUAAUUACUGAAAAUAAUGAUUAUUAUUUGUUGAUAUCUUAUACUCCCUACGUCUCUGUUUACUUCUUUCGUUUGAUAUGUCGGGACUGUUCAUAACACGAGUCAAAUUAUUAAUUUACGUAUAAUUUAUAAGACUAAAUAUAGUCCUGAGUGGUCUUUUACACGAAUUCACGUCAAUUUGACCUUGUUGUUGCAACUUCUAGCCAUAGUUGAUGUGCUUCUCAGGCACAAAUGAGGCGAGGCAUAGGAGUCAGUGCCUCUGGCACCCAAAUCAUGUUGCUGUCAGCCAGCCGCAGCCGCGCACCUAUGUGUGCUGGUGACUUGGGCGUAGGCGCAAUUUUAGGACUUCUAGUGGGGUUUUGGGAAUUUACCGCGCGCUGAUGGUAUACUUAAGUGCAAAUGAGCUCUAAGAUCGCAUCUUUGUAGUAAAAUUUAGUUAGAAAAGGAAAUCUGAGGUUUUGUUAAUUCUAAUCAUAGCCAUAGAAACUAAUCAUAAAUAAGGAAGGGCUCAUAUUAAAAAAGAGAAGACCAGGAAAAGAAUGGUUGCACAGAAAUCGUAUAUUAGAAAUUGCAGCCACCUUUCGACUUUGAAAUCGCAAAGACCAAGCACCCAUCUCUCUCCUCCAUUCCAUCGACUUCUAGUCUUACUCGUUUGGGAUGAUAGUUGUUUCUACUUUCUAGACUAUUGCUAUUA